AGGGGCACUGUCUCCCCUUUGCCCUCCCCCUGCCCCUGCGGUCGACCGCAGCACCUUAACACUGGACACUGCAUGAGCACUUCUGCUCUCCUGCCUCAGGGGGAUGCUCUUAGGAUUUGUGAAAAUCCCUUUGGGAUGAAAGGUACAAACAUACCUCCACAGCACACGCUGCAGCCUGGGAACUGCCCACGUGGACUGAAGCCUUGGACACGUCCUCUUCCCUGCUCUGUUCCAGCGGUGGCUGUAGGUGCUGUUAACUUCACCAGGGCUGCAUUUUCCCAUCCGAAAAAUGAAGAGACACAACUCACAUGGCUGUUGGGAAGAUUAAAGAGAGUCGGUCCUCGAUGGUAGAAAAGGGGAGCCACGUAUGUAAUUUCAAAUUUUUUCAGUAACCACUUUAAAAAACAAGAGGAACAAGAAAUACUAAUUUUAAUAAGAUAUCUUAUUUAACCCACUGCAUCCAACAUAUUACCAUUUUAACAUGUAGUCAACAUAAAGAUGACUACUGAGACGCUCUACACUCUUUUCUUCAUGCUAGGCAGUUGAAAUCCUCUGUGUAUUUUACUCUUACAGCACAUCUCAAUUCAGAACAGCCUCAUUACAAGUACUGUGGCCCCUGACUGCCGCAAGGCCUGGAGCAUGCAGGGCAUACCGCCUGGAUUUCAGCCCAUGCUUAACAGUGCUAGCUAUCAUUAAUGUGCUUUGCACAUGCUGGCACACCUCCUCCUUUUCUGUUGAACUCCUGCUCAUACCUCAAGACCCAGCCAAUGAGCCACAUCCCCUGGAAGGCCUUCUUCAGGCAUCUUGUCCUGAUCUCCCUCCAUUUUUGGCUCCCCCAGUGCCU
rnacentral:lncRNA from 1 species